CUUUACCUAGCAGAGACUUGAUGAGUGACUUGUUUUGUUUUGAUUACAAUCACGCCUUACCUGUUAACACGUGAUAGCACUGUGUUGUCUGGGAAAAGACUGGGCGAGUUUGCUUUGCAUGCUAUGCUAGCAUAGUUUAACGCAAGGUCAGGGACAAGCUAUGCUAGCUAGCUGCUGUCAGCUUGGCUAAACACAAGGUCAGGGACAAGCUAUGCUAGGUAGCUGCUGUCAGCUUGGCUAAACACAAGGUCAGGGACAAGUUAUGCUAGGUAGCUGCUGUCAGCUUGGCUAAACACAUGGUCAGGGCCAAGCUAUGCUAGCUAGCUGCUGUCAGCUUGGCUAAACACAAGGUCAG
ensembl:lncRNA